AGAGAUACAAACACUUAAAAAUUAUUUCGUGUAUUAAUUUAUCAAUGCUAGUACAAUAAAUACAAGCUCAACUCAGUCAGGAAUGGAACUCAUAGAGACGAAAGUAAAGCAAGAUACCGUAAACUAUUUCGUCCGGCUUUCUACUGCUUUAGGAAUCCUGUAUAGUUUCUAUCAGCAGUGGACUUGAAAAGGUUACGAUUGGUAUUUUUGUUACUUAUUAACUUUAAUUAAGCAGUGUGGUUGGGUAACUAAACGAGUUUCUUAUGCAGUAACUAACUUACAGAACAGGUAUACUUACACAUUUUUAACAUACCAUUACGAAGAGAACUUUUAUGCGUAACUGUAACUAUUUUGUGAGGACCUACGAAGUAAAUAACUGUAUUUAAUUUAUUAUAGUAGGACAAAAGAUUUUUAAAAAUUCAAGAGAGAGAAAGACGUGGUGUAAAAACGAACGGUGCUUGCUUGCUAUCUAAUCUUUUAUUAGUGAUAUUUGUUUUUUGUUUAAUUUACAAAGUUUUUUGUUGUUGUUGAGAACUGGUUAGUGGAAUGUGGUAUACAUUGCAUUAAAUAAAAUCAAAAAGAUAAAUAGAUAUAUAAAUACAAAGAGAAAAUCAAUGACUGAAACUAGGAUUCGAAAUUGCAUACCUAGUGACUUCAGAAUAAUAAAUGAUUACUUACCUGUUGCUCAACUACAAUCGCUACAUUCCGAUUUGUUCUAUUUUUUUUUUUUAAAUAACGGUUUUCACAAGGCCUGUAACUUUUAAGGAAAGUGUAUAUUAGUCAAUACCACUAACCUCAAGAAUUUUUAUUUGACUAUUGCUUUAUUCUAUUGUCCCCGUAGAGAUAAAAGCAAAGUUGACCACAGCAGUAUUUGAACUCAAAGCCAGAACAAAUACACACACACACACACACACAAAAUCAAUCUUUAUCGACGCUAUGACGAUUCAGCUAGCGCGCUGACGUUUCGCUAAUUCACCAAUCGAGACUAUAUUGGUGGCAUUAAAACAUUCCAUUCUCUCUGUUGAAACAUUCUAUUCAUUAAACCGCAACUAUUUUAUCGAACUACUUGCGCCCAUAGUAGUUAAUAUUUUACGAAUGGGAUGACAAACUGAAUGUUAUGAAGUAAACUUUACUUCAUUUUCUUUUCAUCACAGAAUUUCAUAGACUAUUUCUCUUUAUAAAACGUAGCUGUUUGGAGUAAUAAAAAGAAAAAGAAAAAAUGCAA